rnacentral:rRNA from 1 species
GGGGUUUUGUCCGGCAACGAGCGAGAACCCCCACUCUAAUUUCCCGCCACACCCUUGGGGUGGAUGGGUACAUUAGGAGGACUGCCGCUGCCAAAGCGGAGGAAGGAACGGGCAACGGUAGGUCAGUAUGCCCCGAAUGUGCUGGGCUACACGCGGGCUACAAUGGUCGAGACAAUGGGUUCCUACCUCGAAAGAGGACGGUAAUCUCCUAAACUCGAUCGUAGUUCGGAUUGAGG